rnacentral:rRNA from 1 species
CCCUUAGAUGUUCUGGGCCGCACGCGCGCUACACUGUUCGACGCAGCGAGUCUUAACCUUGACCGAAAGGUUUGGGUAAUCUUCAGCAAAGUCGAACGUGAUGGGGAUCGAUCAUUGCAAUUAUUGAUCGUGAACGAGGAAUUCCUAGUAAGUGCAAGUCAUCAGCUUGCGCUGAUUACGUCCCUGCCCUUUGUACACACCGCCCGUCGCUGCAACUGAUUGGGUGACCUGGUGGACAUCUUGGACCGGCCCACUCAAUUUCGAGAGGACUGGAAAAGGCCGUAAAUCAGGUACAUCUAGAAAUUGCAAGUCGUAACA